rnacentral:ncRNA from 1 species
UGACCUCAGAUCAGGCAAGGCUACCCGCUGAAUUUAAGCAUAUUAAUAAGCGGAGGAAAAGAAACUAACAAGGAUUCCCCUAGUAAUGGCGAAUGAAGCGGGAACAGCUCAAAUUUAAAAUCUCCGUUGCUUGCAACGGCGAAUUGUAGUUUCGAGAAGCACUUUCUCGGCGGAUCCGAGGUCGUCCAAGUUGCUUGGAACAGCACGUCGUAGAGGGUGACAACCCCGUCUGCGGCGAUCUCGGCCGUUCACGAUGUGCUUUCGACGAGUCGGGUUGUUUGGGAAUGCAGCCCAAAAUGGGUGGUAAACUCCAUCUAAAGCUAAAUAUUGGCACGAGACCGAUAGCGAACAAGUACCGUGAGGGAAAGAUGAAAAGCACUUUGAAAAGAGAGUUAAAAAGUACGUGAAACCGUUAAAAGGGAAACGAAUGGGGUUAGCAAUGCGUCGUGCGAGAUUCAGCCGGUGGGUGGGCCAGGCGGGCGGUUGGCGGAUCUGAAUGGACCGCUGCCGUUCGGGUUGGUUUCCCGACCGUCGCACUUCUCGCAGGCGCGCGCCAACGUCGGUUAGGGCUGGGUCUCANAGGCGGUGGAAAGGUAGGUUUGGACUCUCGGGCCCGAACUGUUACAGUCCUCCGUUCGUCAUGGCCCGGACCUGACCGAGGAGCUUGCGGUGCAUGCCCUUUCGGCUAGGGUCCC